UGGGAAAUUCUUCCUCACAUCUGACCCAAAGCCUUUAGACUAUAGCUUAAACUCCUUCUCUCAUGUUAUAUCCUCAUUGGAGAUGGAGAACAGAUAGUUAGUUAGUAGUAGUCUCUCGGUAACCGAGGAUGACGAUUGUCUUUGUGUGCUUUCAUCUGUGAUGUAGAUAUGUGUGCACAAAGAUACUUGUGUGUGAAAGAGAUUUAAGUGGAAAAGUCGAUGCACAGAGACAGUCCCACUCUCUCGGCAUUGGAAGCCUGGGUCCAGUGGCACGAAAAGUCAUUACGCCUGGAGAUGUCCUCAGCUGCAUUGGAUGGCCGUGUUGUCUUUUGUGCUCCAACAUGCCCUAAGUACUCCACAGGGCUUUGCUGCGUCGCCCUCUCAGACGUUGAACCUUCUUAUUGGUUUCUUCUGUCUGUUCAGUCGAAACAGUCUUCACAUGCUGGAAAUUAUCCAUCUCCUGCUCCAAGGUCGAACAUGGGCUGUCUCAAAGGAAGGCUGUACUGAAAUGGGAAAUUCACUAUUCUGCCAAAAGGUCUAGAUGAGAAAAGAAGGAAAAAAGACUUCACUAAAAGACCCCCAGCCGCUUUCUGUCAUGCCCAGCAUAGGGAGACUCUGAGUGAGUCUUUCAAGCCUUACCUUCCUAACCCAGACAGCCAUUCAGGCUGCUUGUAGCUGGCAAGUGAGAGGCAGCCUGUGGGGAAGAAAGGGCUAAUUCCAGCAGCUACUCUGAAAAGACUAGAGCUUCACAGCCUUGCCACCAGCCCAUAAACCCCUCGGCCCAUCAGCAUCCUUGUUUGCCAUGGUAAAGCAGUUACUUUUGUUAUUCCCUUUAUCCACACAGCCCUCAAACUGUACAACAGAUACUUGCUUUUUGUGGUAUCCUUUGAUUCUCUAGACUAUUUCUUUUUGUUUUUAAGCCCUUACUUUCCAUCUUAGGAUCAAAACUGUGUAUUGGUUCUAAGGCAGAAGAGUGUUAAGGGUUAGGCAAUGGGGGUUAAGUGACUUGCCCAGAGUCACACAGUUAGGAAGAGGCUGAGGCCACAUUUAAACCCA
rnacentral:lncRNA from 1 species